rnacentral:rRNA from 1 species
CAAUAGCGUAUAUUAAUGUUGUUGCAGUUAAAAAGCUCGUAGUUGGAUUUCUGUUUGAAAUAUACGGACUAGUUCUAACGGACUAUGUAUUGUUAUAUUUUAGGCAUCCUUUAGAAAAACAUGUAUGUUAUUAAUUUAAUGUAUAUGGGAUUCUAAUCGUUUACUGUAAAAAAUUAGAGUGUUUAAAGCAGGCAAAUGCCGUGAAUACAUUAGCAUGGAAUAAUAAGAUAGGACUUUGGUGCUAUUUUGUUGGUUUGCACACCAAGGUAAUGAUUAACAGGGACAGUUGGGGGUAGUUCGUAUUUAAUUGUCAGAGGUGAAAUUCUUGGAUUUAUGAAAGACGAACUACUGCGAAAGCAUUUACCAAGGAUGUUUUCAUUAAUCAAGAACGAAAGUUAGGGGAGUCGAAGACGAUUAGAUACCAU